rnacentral:rRNA from 1 species
UACGUAGGGGGCGAGCGUUGUCCGAAGUUACUGGGCGUAAAGCGCACGUAGGCGGUUAUCUAAGUCUGGGGUGAAAGGUUCAGUGCUUAACGCGAACAGUGCCUUGGAGACUGGAUGACUUGAGUUUGGGAGAGGGUAGUGGAAUGGCUGGUGUAGCGGUGAAAUGCGUAGAUAUCGGGAGGAACACCUGUGGCGAAGGCGGCCCCCUGGUUGGAUACUGACGCUGAUACGCGAAAGCGUGGGGAGCAAACAGG